CACGUAGGGCGCAAGCGUUGUCCGGAAUUAUUGGGCGUAAAGAGCUCGUAGGCGGUCCGUCACGUCCGCUGUGAAAACCCAGGGCUCAACCCUGGGCUUGCAGUGGAUACGGGCAGACUAGAGGUAGGUAGGGGAGAAUGGAAUUCCCGGUGUAGCGGUGAAAUGCGCAGAUAUCGGGAGGAACACCGGUGGCGAAGGCGGUUCUCUGGGCCUUACCUGACACUGAGGAGCGAAAGCGUGGGGAGCAAACAGG
rnacentral:rRNA from 1 species